CCUACGGGGAGCAGCAGUGAGGAAUAUUGGUCAAUGGACGAGAGUCUGAACCAGCCAAGUAGCGUGAAGGAUGACUGCCCUAUGGGUUGUAAACUUCUUUUAUAUGGGAAUAAAAUGUUCCACGUGUGGGAUUUUGUAUGUACCAUAUGAAUAAGGAUCGGCUAACUCCGUGCCAGCAGCCGCGGUAAUACGGAGGAUCCGAGCGUUAUCCGGAGUUAUUGGGUUUAAAGGGAGCGUAGGUGGAUUGUUAAGUCAGUUGUGAAAGUUUGCGGCUCAACCGUAAAAUUGCAGUUGAAACUGGCAGUCUUGAGUACAGUAGAGGUGGGCGGAAUUCGUGGUGUAGCGGUGAAAUGCUUAGAUAUCACGAAGAACUCCGAUUGCGAAGGCAGUUCACUGGACUGCAACUGACACUGAGGCUCGAAAGUGUGGGUAUCAAACAGGAUUAGAUACCCGAGUAGUC
rnacentral:rRNA from 1 species